GAUCCCGGUUUAGCCGCGGGCCUCGCGCCCCACUGGCGGCUCCCACGCCGCGCCGCGCGGCGCCAGCUUCCCAGAACAUCUUAUUUUAAUGUAGUGUUUAGUGCUAUAGAUUUCCUUCUCAGCACAGCCUUUGCUGCAUCCCAUAUUCUGUCUAUUGAUGAUAGAACACUUAUUUGAGAUCCUUUAUGAAAGACCUGAUCAUGCCCAAGACCACAGUCAGCAAAACGACCCCAAACAGCAUCUACUGAGAGCAAGGGUGCCAGGUGUGGGAGAAGAGGUAGGAAAUGGGAGAAUUGAUUAAAGAACUCUUUGUGAGUUAUCCUCUCUGUGCCAGUUUGGAUAUAUUAUGUCCUCCGGAAAAGCCAUAUUCUGCAAUCUUGUGGGGGCAGACUGAUUAAUCUGUUCAUUAGGGUAAACCUCUAACUGAAUUAUUUCCAUGGAGGUGUGGACUCCACCCAUUCAGAGUGGGUCUUAAUUAAAUCACUGGAGUCCUAUAAGAGAGCUCACAGACAGAAGGAGCUCAGAGCAGCUGAGAGAGACUUUU